UACGUAGGGUGCAAGCGUUGUCCGGAAUUAUUGGGCGUAAAGGGUGCGUAGGCGGUUUGGUAAGUCUCUUGUGAAAUCUAUGGGCUCAACUCAUAGUCUGCAAGGGAAACUGCCGGGCUUGAGUGUGGGAGAGGUGAGUGGAAUUUCCGGUGUAGCGGUGAAAUGCGUAGAUAUCGGAAGGAACACCUGUGGCGAAAGCGGCUCACUGGACCACAACUGACGCUGAUGCACGAAAGCUAGGGGAGCAAACAGG
rnacentral:rRNA from 1 species